CCAUUUAAUUUCAGUAUGGAUUAUCUGACCUAUGGAAAUAAAAGAAAGCUGAAACAACCUUGGGCUUUUCUUUACGAUUUCAUCACAGUGAGGUCACAGUAUGGAUUCCUGAAUAGCAUCUGUGACAUCAUGACCGACACGCUACACAGCUUCUUCAUGCCCAUCAGUCAACUAUAGGUCAUUUACACAACGUGGUGUACCUCUAGUAUUUCAGAAUGGCUAAGAAGAGAAAGAGGAAAGUCACACAAAGAAGUAGGUGCAGAAUUAGGUACUGAAAAUAUAUGUUCAGGGCAGACCAUUGGAAAGAGGCUCCAUACUUUGCAAUACCAUGGGAGAACACAAUGUACCUCUGUGUACUCUGCACGCACAGACAUCUUCAGCUAGAAAUAAAUUACUCUUGAAAUGAGUAAUCCCACUUGGAGAGGAGUCAGUUGUGGAUCCCCAGGAAGCCCACUAACCCCAGUGAUCUUCACCUGCUUUGAUGAUAAUCUGAAAUAGUUGAGGGUGACGUGAAAAUAGCUGUUUUCUGCUAGAGAGCUGCAGAAACACACAGUUUUCAGUGUACUCCUGGAUUCCUCUAUGGGACCUACUGCAGGACUGUGGCAAGUGCCCUACCAGAGAACCAAGUGUAUCCCUCGUAAUAAAGUUCUUCAGAUACCAACUCCUGUGAUGGUCUUGAAUUCAGUCAUCAGAUUUCAACAAGCAGCGAUGUAGGAACAAUUAAAAUAUUGCAACAAAAUAAAUG